rnacentral:lncRNA from 1 species
UUAUAUAGCACCCAACAUUUCAAUAAUGUAGAAACAAAAGAAAGUGAAUUGAAAGGAUCAUAGCCUCUUUUAUUAAUAGAAAUACCAAUAUUCUGACAUACAAUUCUGAAAUUAAAUAUCCUUUAAGAAAUUUCAGUCAAAAGCACUCCUAAUAUGCCCAAUGUACUUCAUCGUACCUAUCUACAAAACAAGACAACUAAAGAUAAUAUCUAUUAAUCUUCAAUCAAGGUACACCAUCAUUGUUUGAAUGGAUAUCAUUUUUCAGCAGUGAUUACAAUGCAUCCUGAUGCUUCUAUAAUAUUAUGGUGGACCAUCAGUCCUACAAAAUGUUGAGUAGUUUAUGGAAGUCAGUCCAUGUAAAUAAAUUGCCACAAAGUAUAAUAACAUAUAAAAUCAAUGUAUGAGAACAACUUACUUGUUCAUGUUGGCUUCCACGAGAACUAUCACUUACUAUCUGGCAGACCCAAGACGCUUAAUUUCUGACACUUCCUGCAAACUUUUCUUUGAGCACUUGCCUCGCUUGCUCAGAAGAUUGUAAUUUAGAAACCAAUUCCGUCAUACUUAAUGAUG